UACGGAGGGUGCAAGCAUUGAUCGGAAUUACUGGGCGUAAAGGGCGCGUAGGCGGUUCAGAAAGUCAGAUGUGAAAUUCCGGGGCUCAACCCCGGAGCUGCAUUUGAAACUUCUAAACUAGAGUUUAGUUAGGGAAAACGGAAUUCCACGUGUAGCGGUGAAAUGCGUAGAUAUGUGGAAGAACACCAGUGGUGAAGACGGUUUUCUGGGCUAAGACUGACGCUGAGGCGCGAAAGCAAGGGGAGCAAACAGG
rnacentral:rRNA from 1 species